rnacentral:rRNA from 1 species
GACGAACGCUGGCGGCGUGCUUAACACAUGCAAGUCGAACGGAAAGGCCCUGCUUUUGUGGGGUGCUCGAGUGGCGAACGGGUGAGUAACACGUGAGUAACCUGCCCUUGACUUUGGGAUAACUUCAGGAAACUGGGGCUAAUACCGGAUAGGAGCUCCUGCUGCAUGGUGGGGGUUGGAAAGUUUCGGCGGUUGGGGAUGGACUCGCGGCUAAUCAGCUUGUUGGUGGGGUAGUGGCUUACCAAGGCUUUGACGGGUAGCCGGCCUGAGAGGGUGACCGGCCACAUUGGGACUGAGAUACGGCCCAGACUCCUACGGGAGGCAGCAGUGGGGAAUAUUGCACAAUGGGCGGAAGCCUGAUGCAGCAACGCCGCGUGCGGGAUGACGGCCUUCGGGUUGUAAACCGCUUUCGCCUGUGACGAAGCGUGAGUGACGGUAAUGGGUAAAGAAGCACCGGCUAACUACGU